GCCGAAUUGAGAGCAGAGUGUCGGUCAUUUAUUCCCACACCAGACAGCCCUGCACAAGAGGUGCUCUGUGUCAGGGGUCAGUGUAGCACUUCGAGUGCAAAAGAGGGGAUUGGAGAAGUUGGUGUCCAGCAGCAGGAGGUGUCAGCCCCUGUGUUCUCAACAGACCUUGCCAGUGAGACCAAAUCGAGAUUGGAGUGCCAAUCAUCCAGAUCCACACCAAACGACUCUGCAUGUGAG